rnacentral:rRNA from 1 species
CCUACGGGAGGCAGCAGUGGGGAAUUUUGGACAAUGGGCGCAAGCCUGAUCCAGCCAUGCCGCGUGCGGGAAGAAGGCCUUCGGGUUGUAAACCGCUUUUGUCAGGGAAGAAAAGGUUCUGGUUAAUACCUGGGACUCAUGACGGUACCUGAAGAAUAAGCACCGGCUAACUACGUGCCAGCAGCCGCGGUAAUACGUAGGGUGCAAGCGUUAAUCGGAAUUACUGGGCGUAAAGCGUGCGCAGGCGGUUAUGCAAGACAGAGGUGAAAUCCCCGGGCUCAACCUGGGAACUGCCUUUGUGACUGCAUAGCUAGAGUGCGGCAGAGGGGGAUGGAAUUCCGCGUGUAGCAGUGAAAUGCGUAGAUAUGCGGAGGAACACCGAUGGCGAAGGCAAUCCCCUGGGCCUGCACUGACGCUCAUGCACGAAAGCGUGGGGAGCAAACAGGAUUAGAUACCCUGGUAGUCCACGCCCUAAACGAUGUCAACUGGUUGUUGGGAGGGUUUCUUCUCAGUAACGUAGCUAACGCGUGAAGUUGACCGCCUGGGGAUACGGCCGCAAGGUUGAAACUCGAAUGAAUUGACGGCUGAGACGNGACGAGACGACGACGAGGGAGGAGG